UACGAGUGCCUCGAGCGUUAUCCGGAAUCAUUGGGCGUAAAGGGUGCGUAGGCGGUUUUGUUAGUCUUCUGUCAAAUUCUUCGGCUUAACCGGGGGCUCGCAGAGGAAACGGCAAAACUAGAGGAUGGGAGAGGUGAAUGGAACUCUAAGUGUAGGGGUGAAAUCCGUUGAUAUUUAGGGGAACACCAAAAGCGAAGGCAAUUCACUGGCCCACUCCUGACGCUGAAGCACGAAAGCGUGGGUAGCGAAUGGG
rnacentral:rRNA from 1 species